UCGAGAAUUUUUCUCAAUGGGGGAAACCCUGAAGGAGCGACGCCGCGUGGAGGAUGAAGGCUUUCGGGUUGUAAACUCCUGUCAUCUGGGAACAAAACUCGCAAGAGCUUGAUAGUACCAGAAGAGGAAGAGACGGCUAACUCUGUGCCAGCAGCCGCGGUAAUACAGAGGUCUCAAGCGUUGUUCGGAUUCAUUGGGCGUAAAGGGCGCGUAGGCGGUGGGGUAAGUCUGGUGUGAAAUCUCGGAGCUCAACUUCGAAAUUGCACUGGAUACUGCUCUGCUAGAGGGCUGGAGAGGAGAUCGGAAUUCACGGUGUAGCAGUGAAAUGCGUAGAUAUCGUGAGGAAGACCAGUGGCGAAGGCGGAUCUCUGGACAGCUCCUGACGCUGAGGCGCGAAGGCUAGGGGAGCAAACG
rnacentral:rRNA from 1 species